UUAUAAAAACAAUUAAGAUUUUGUUAUGUCUGACCAUACUCUCAAGGUGAGUGAUAUUAGUACAUUACGAUACAAGUGCGAAAAAUAGGAAAUUCGAAACGAGUGGCGAUAAAUUAAAACACGACCGAAGGGAGUGUUUUAAAUCGACACGAGUUGCGAAUUACCUAUUCGCACAUGUAUCGUACAACUUUUUACAGUACAUAUGGGGCUACUUUAUAGCACUAGUGCGAGAAGUAGCAUAUUACGUUACUGUGUCGAACAUUUAAAGGGCCAUAUGUACUGUAAAACGUUGUACGAUACAUGUGCGAAUAGGUAAUUCGCAACUCGUGUCGAUUUAAAACACUCCCUUCGGUCGUGUUUUAAUUUAUCGCCACUCGUUUCGAAUUUCCUAUUUUUCGCACUUGUAUCGUAAUGUACUAUUUUGAGUUUCAGUUACCCCCAAACAUUUAUUGUUUUUUUUUCUAUUUUUGUGUAAAAAUCUUAAUGCGGUUCAUAGAAUAACAUCUACUUACCAAGUUUUAACAGUAUAGCUCUCAUAGUUUCGGAAAAAAGUGGCUGUGACAUAAUCGGAAAGACAGACGGACAUGACGAAUCUAUAAGGGUUCCGUUUUUUGCCAUUUGGCUACGGAACCCUAAAAAGCCCACUUGCCGGUAACAGACUGUAUAUUUAUAUUAGUUAUACAGAUUGAUCCCGUUUUUGUCAAAACCAAGUUCUGAUGAUGGGAUCCAUGAGGAUACGAGGGAACUCGUCAAAGGCAUAUAUGGUGAUUUUUAUAUUUUAUUUAACAAAUCAAGCAUUGACAUUUAAGAAAGUGAAAUUUGAUGAAGUGGAACUGCUAAUAAUGAUCAUAGCGGAACUCUUCAACUAGGUACGCAUAGUUCACGUUUUGGGAUUUGCUUUCUUCGUUAUGUUUGUUAAGCAAGUUAGGUUUUGAAGACUCAUUUUUGUCAAGCUCGAGUUCUGAUGAUGGGAUCCAUGAGGAAUCGAGGGAAUUCCUCGAAUGUUAAAGGCAUACAUAUAAUGAUUUUUGUAUUUUCAUCAGGAAAUCAAACAUUUACAUUAAAAACAGUGGCAUUUGAUGAAGUGGAACUGCUGAUGAUGACCAGAACGGAACUCUUCAACGACGCAUAGUUUACAUUGCAAGAAUACGAUUUCGACUUGAAUUUGGACCUGGACCAGGACCCGAACUCAGACUAGAACCUGGACCCAAAUUCUAACUCGGACCCGGACCCUCGCCUGGAGUCCUGGAUUCGGACUCGGGCUAGGACCCGUAAUCGCACUUUGGCCCGGACUCGGACCCGAA